GCGAGGGGGCUGCGGCCCGGACAGAAGGCCUGGAGAGGGCCCUGGAAGCUGGCCAAAGGCUGGCAGAGCUGCUCGCGGGUGAGUGCUGAGUGCCUGGCUGGCACCCUGGACGGAGGCCCCUGGCCAGGCGGUAGUGGACACAGCGUCCAUUCAGGAACCAAACCCCCCACCGGGUCCCGUGAAACCUACAGGGGUCACUGUAGAGAAAAUGCGAGGCCUGGCCUCAGAGGUGGGCUCAGGGACCCCAGCUGUGUUCCGGAAAGAGGUGGAGCUUCUGGGAGGGUGCUGGUCAGAGGCUCAGAAGCAGGACACUAGGCUGAAGGCUAUACGGGGUCCGGUGGAGCUGGCGGCCAGUGAGGAGGGGCUGCAACCUGAGGGCAGCUG